UACGUAGGGGGCAAGCGUUGUCCGGAAUCAUUGGGCGUAAAGAGCGUGUAGGCGGCCAUGUAGGUCCGGUGUGAAAACUCGAGGCUUAACCUCGAGAUGUCAUCGGAAACCAUUGGCUAGAGUCCGGAAGAGGAGAGUGGAAUUCCGUGGUGUAGCGGUGAAAUGCGCAGAUAUCAGGAAGAACACCAGUGGCGAAGGCGACUCGCUGGACAAGUAUUGACGCUGAGGUGCGAAAGCGUGGGGAGCAAACAGG
rnacentral:rRNA from 1 species